UGCUGGUUCCCCUCCGCCUAGGUCCCAAGAGCCUGACUUGUGAUUGUUACUAAAAACCUCACAAGUUAGGGUCUCAGGGACUAGGAAAAGUCUGAUAUGAUCCAG
rnacentral:pre_miRNA from 11 species